rnacentral:rRNA from 1 species
UACGUAGGGACCGAGCGUUGUCCGGAUUCAUUGGGCGUAAAGAGCUCGUAGGCGGCUGUUCAAGUCGAACGUGAAAACUCGGAGCUCAACUCCGAGCCUGCGUUCGAGACUGGAUGGCUAGAGUCUGGUAGGGGGAUCUGGAAUUCCUGGUGUAGCGGUGGAAUGCGCAGAUAUCAGGAGGAACACCGGUGGCGAAGGCGGGUCUCUGGGCCGAUACUGACGCUGAGGAGCGAAAGCGUGGGGAGCAAACAGG